CAGCACCUCAAGUGGUCAGGAUGAUUAUUGGGCCUAAAGCAUCCGUAGCCGGCGCUGUAAGUUUUCGGUUAAAUCUGUACGCUCAACGUACAGGCUGCCGGGAAUACUGCAGCGCUAGGGAGUGGGAGAGGUAGACGGUACUCGGUAGGAAGGGGUAAAAUCCUUUGAUCUAUUGAUGACCACCUGUGGCGAAGGCGGUCUACCAGAACACGUCCGACGGUGAGGGAUGAAAGCUGGGGGAUCAAACCGGAUUAGAUACCCGAGUAGUCC
rnacentral:rRNA from 1 species